rnacentral:rRNA from 1 species
AUGGCGAUCCGGGCGGCUGGACGCGACGUCGCCUUCCAGGCACCGCCGCCCACCACGACCUCGAUCAGUGGUGCGUCUCCCUCGUUCUUGUUUUCUAUCGGCAACCCCCAGCUUGCCAGAUGGCGGCACCGACCAUCUCUAUCGCUUUGCCUCCUUGACGGCAUGUUCUCUGUCUACCUGGAAUGCUCAAAUCCGUCCUUCAAGGUGGAACGUCGGCGCCGCUGCCAUCCAGCCCGACCCUAUGUUUCUGACACUAGCCUUGUGGAUCUGGCACCUCUCGCAGGUGCACAACCAGCACAAACGCGCUACAACGAGCAGCAUCAAGGGAUUUGGUUUGGGUGA